rnacentral:rRNA from 1 species
GAUGAACGCUGGCGGCGUGCCUAAUACAUGCAAGUCGAGCGAAUGACGAGGAGCUUGCUCCUCUGAUUUAGCGGCGGACGGGUGAGUAACACGUGAGUAACCUGCCUGUAAGACGGGGAUAACUCCGGGAAACCGGAGCUAAUACCGGAUGAUAACGAGAAGCGCCUGCUUCUUUUUUGAAAGUCGGUUUCGGCUGACGCUUACAGAUGGGCCCGCGGCGCAUUAGCUAGUUGGUGAGGUAACGGCUCACCAAGGCGACGAUGCGUAGCCGACCUGAGAGGGUGAUCGGCCACUCUGGGACUGAGACACGGCCCAGACUCCUACGGGAGGCAGCAGUAGGGAAUCUUCGGCAAUGGACGAAAGUCUGACUGAGCAACGCCGCGUGAGCGAUGAAGGCCUUCGGGUCGUAAAGCUCUGUUGUCAGAGAAGAACAAGUACCGGAGUAACUGCCGGUACCUUGACGGUACCUGACCAGAAAGCCACGGCUAACUACGUGCCAGCAGCCGCAGUAACAC